CAGGUUCCCCCACCCCAUGUCAUAGUGAAUGCCACUCAAGACCAAAGAGGGUAAGUAACCUACCCAAGGUCAUUCAGCUGAAUGGUGGCAUAGUUAUCAUUUGUAAUUAGGUCUCCUGGCUCCAAGUCCUCCACCCCGUCACCAUGAUAAUGACCAUUGUCAGCAUCAUCACCAUCAUCGUCAUCAUCAUUACCACAGGCACUGUGAGCUCCCUGUGGGCUGUUUUGCAGCUUUGCCCCUGCCCAGGACCAGGGACCAGCCAGAGCUUCAUAAUUGUCAGCUGAGUGGAAUCCCUUCUUGGGGCAAGUCAGUGAGAAAGACUUUCUCAGGCUGCAGUUGACAACCCUUGGCUGAGGCCCCCACUGUGAGCUGGGCAGGUUGGCCAGGGAAUAAGGAGGAGGAGACUGCUUACUUAGCAUCAGUCAAGGUUGAGGGGCCAUGGGCCAAGGGCUCACAUAAGACCUCCUCCAUCAGGCUCUUCUGAGGAUCAAUGGAACUAUGACGGCAUGUUCAGCACCCUGCCCCAAGGACAAACUCUCUCCUUACUUGCCUCAUUCUGCUCUGAGUCAGAGGAAUGGCCCAAAUGACCUUGGAGCUCUGUGGCGUCAUCGCUUCUUGCAGCCUUCCCUGGAGAGCUGACUCUCAAGCGAGCAUACCCAGCUGGAAGGCGGAAAGAAUUUUAAGCACAAGGAGCCGAGGCCUGCACUUGAGCAAAUGUCUUCUUCAGCCUACAUUUUCUUCCGAACACCCCAAGCAACUAUGGAAACCCAACCUGUGGAGAGUAAAGGGGCUUCAGAAGGGUUUUGUGUGUUUCUCUCCCUGUUGUCUUUGGAGCGCUGCUUCGUGCAUCUCCAGGAGAGUUGAUAACUGAAUCAAUAGCUGUUUUGCUCUAAUUUAUUGAGCUCUAUUGCCUAAACCUAAUUAGCAUGUUUCUGAGCCAUGAAGUGCUCUAAGUCCUGCACUUAGACGGGGAAUCGAUCCUGCAGCUGCCCUGGGCCGAGCCAAUGUCAGGGAAAGGGAUGGGGGUGGUGGCAUCAUUCCAGUAAAAUUGAGAGCCAGACAGGAAGACACAGCCCAGGAGAGCAACAUCCUGGUGCUUUCGCCACCCCGGGCCCCAGCCCUCAAGGUGGGGACCUUUCACCCCAAGUCCUGGCCCUCAAAAUGGGAGACCAUAGGGGUCUACAUUGGAGAGCCAACCCCACUGCUUGGCAGCUGGGUGCUUGACUUUCUCUAAGCCUUUGUUUCCUUGGCUGGAAUGAGGGUCUGGUGAUGACACCAUAGCAAGGGGUGGGGAAAGCAUUCCUUAAGAAGACCCCACCAAGCCCACACCUUAGUCUUGUCUGAUUGCUAAGAGGGGGCUCUCUAGGUCCAGCAUAGAGUCCAAGUGACCUCACAGGAAGGUUUGUGGCUGGAGGAAGGGGAGGUCAAGUGAUGAUUGGUCAGUCAGAAGAUCCUAGUGGUGGCUGGGCCAGGGGACUUCUAAGGACAGAGGUAUUGAAUGGUCCGAUGUUUGUGUCUCACUGUGCUGUGCUGGAUGUCACUUUCCACACCUGCUUUGAAAGUCUGCAGCGGGCAAGAAUCACAACGUCCAGUCCUACAGGUCAGGCCAGUGUGGAUGAGAGAGUGUGCUCACAGGAAGCAGAGGGUGACACACAGCAGGGCAGUCCCAGGAAGCAGAGACUUGGAGUUAAAGAUAACUCAGAGGAACAAGCUGGCCCUGCAAUAGGGGGCUGUGCUAAGGCCAAAGUCAGGGUGAUGUCAGCAGG
rnacentral:lncRNA from 1 species